GAAACCAGAUGAGUGAUGGCCCCAGCAAGACAAAGCCCAGACUACAGAACAAUUUCUUGAAAUUAGAGAGGUAAAUGCCCAGAUUUCUGAAAAUCUCUGCAAACUCCUGGACUUAACGUGAACAGCAAUAAAGUACAGUCAAGCUCCACUCCGGGAACAAGGCUUUAGUCUGAUUAAAGAUGAAUUUUCGAAUCUGAAAGAGGUACCAAUAGAAGAUUCUCUUCCCCCAUCAGUUACAAGGAAGUUUUAACCCAAGAGGCCCAUACUCAGAGAAUCCAUACUCAGAGAAUCCAGACCAGCCAGAGAUUAAUACAAGAAGCAGUGAGCUUGGAUGACACGCCACAGGUGGAAAAGAGAGAGGAAGACCCAGUGGGCAGCCCGUGGGUCUAAUAUUUGGUGUCAGUGAUGGGAUCCAAAGUGAACUUCUGACAGCUUCGGGGACAAUGAGAAGCACAGGCCUGCUGCCUGGAGAGCACUUUGAGUUCCCAGUCUUUCCCACCAUUUCCAAAGGCUGCGUGUAAAUGCUUCUCAGUUCUGAGCUCGGCUCUCUUUGCAUUGAGCUCCCAACCUAGUUGGCAUUCCAGUCUGCAAUUCCCCCUUCGGGAAACUCCUUCCAGUCCGCCGUCCUCACUUGUGGUUCAGUGCCCUCCCCAGUUCCCAGUUCCAGGUUGGGAAUUGCUGGUGGUGUGGCCAGUCCGCAGUAACAUCUCUUGGUUACUGCUGGUUUGUUAAGGUGCCCAUUUGUCUCAUUUUGUGUAUAUAAAGGCCACUGCUAGUGGGAAUCUCAGAAGCCAAAAAAGCUGCAAAAAUUGGUGGGCACGGAUCAAACACUUAAAGGCCAUUAGGGCACCCGCCACCUAACUCAAAGACUCUGUGUUAGGAUAAGGUGGUCACAGGACAGGUUAG